rnacentral:rRNA from 1 species
CCUACGGGAGGCAGCAGUGGGGAAUAUUGGACAAUGGGCGAAAGCCUGAUCCAGCAAUGCCGCGUGAGUGAUGAAGGCCUUAGGGUUGUAAAGCUCUUUUACCCGGGAUGAUAAUGACAGUACCGGGAGAAUAAGCUCCGGCUAACUCCGUGCCAGCAGCCGCGGUAAUACGGAGGGAGCUAGCGUUAUUCGGAAUUACUGGGCGUAAAGCGCACGUAGGCGGCUUUGUAAGUAAGAGGUGAAAGCCUGGUGCUCAANACCNGAACUGCCUUUUAGACUGCAUCGCUUGAAUCCAGGAAGGUNAUGGAAUUCCGAGUG